ensembl:lncRNA
CCCGCCUUGGCCAGCGUGGGGCAGACCCACACCCUGUGUGGGGACAGAGCCUGAGCCCUCAGCGCAGGGCAGGAGCCGCAGCCGCUGCUGUGCUUUGCUUCUGGGCCCACCAAGAAUGGUGUCACCCCCCCACAGCAUUACGUGGGGGGAUGGAAGGGCGCCGAGCACCCACCCCACACACUGCAGCCCCAGCUGCAGUGUCACAUCGGAUGUGAGAGGCUGACAGCUCCAGGCUGUGACACUGCUGACACUGUGGGCACAUCCACUGCUGAUUGAUCCCCGCUCAGCACCUCGGAUGGGACGCCCACCCCGAUCCCCCCUUUGCUGCCCAUUUGGGGCCGCUUUGGCUCUCCGGGAGCUCUCCUUUGGGACCGCUGUCUCCCAUGUUCCCACCCCACGUUUAGGGUUCGGUUAGGGCUUAGGAUUAUCCCCCGGCGCCUUCAUCCCACAGCCCCGGGGGGAGAAAGAGGAGGAAGAGGAGGAGGGUGGGGACGCACCCGCACAGGCAGAGAGGGGGGACGGGGUGGGAGAAGGAGUUAAUUCCUACACCAAAAAGCUCUUUGCCGGCGUCUCAGCUCUAAUGGAAGAGUCGUGUCGGAUUAGCGGGCGGGGGGCGAGGAGCAGCGCGGCGCUCUGCGUGCUGGGAGAGGCCGGGGAAGCCAUGCGGAAUGGCAGAUCUGGGCCACUGUGCCAGCGCCGGGGGGGACACGCCGGGAUGGGGACUGCCGCUCCUCCUGUCCCCCCCGGCUGCAGGGUGUGGGGAUGGGGAGGGCUUUUGUUCCCCAUCUCGCUUCUGGGUUUGGUUGGUGCUGCUCCCCAUCCUCCUGCAGCAGCCAUCCCUGUGCAGCACCCAUCCCUGUGCAAUACCCAUCCCUGUGCAAUACCCAUCCCUGUGCAGCACCCAUCCUCCUGCAUCACCUCUCCUGCAUCACCCAUCCUUCUGCAUCACCCAACCCUGUGCAGUACCCAUCUGCAGCACCCAUCCCCCUGCAUCACCCAUUCUCCUCCAGCACCCAUCCUUCUGCAGCACCCAUCCCUCCGCACGACCCAUCCUCGUGCAGCACCCAUCCUUCACCACCACCCUUCUGCAUCACCCAUC